rnacentral:rRNA from 1 species
AUGCUAAUAUACAGGCGAAGUGAUUCCCUAGAGAUAAAAGGGUAUUCAGACACAGAUUUUGCGGGGGACAGAGAUGAUAGAAAAUCCACGUCAGGAUACGUAUUCACCCUCGCUGGGGGAGCUAUUUCGUGGAAAAGCUCCAAACAAUCGAUAGUUGCAUCAUCCACGAUAUAUGCAGAAUUCAUAGCAUGCUUCGAGGCCACGGGGCAGGCGAUAUGGCUAAAGAAAUUUAUACCCGACUUAAAAGUGGUAGAUUGUAUUCACAAACCACUAAAGAUGAACUGUGACAACCAGCCCGCAGUAUUUUACGCUCACAACAACAAGUCGAGUAAUGCUGCCAAAACAAUAGAGAUA